AUGACGACAUGGUCUGAAGGGUAUGGGACUCAAUUCAUCAGGGGUAUGGGACUCAAUUCAUCAGGGGUAUGGGACUCAAUUCAUCAGGGGUAUGGGACUCAAUUCAUCAGGGGUAUGGGACUCAAUUCAUCAGGGGUAUGGGACUCAAUUCAUCAGGGGUAUGGGACUCAAUUCAUCAGGGCUAUGGGACUCAAUUCAUCAGGGCUAUGGGACUCAAUUCAUCAGGGCUAUGGGACUCAAUUCAUCAGGGGUAUGGGACUCAAUUCAUCAGGGGUAUGGGACUCAAUUCAUCAGGGGUAUGGGACUCAAUUCAUCAGGGCUAUGGGACUCAAUUCAUCAGGGCUAUGGGACUCAAUUCAUCAGGGGUAUGGGACUCUACAAGGUGUCGAGAGCGUUCCACAGGGAUGUUGGCCCCAUGUUGACUCUCAUUCUAGACUCUAUCCGAUACCUAAGAAAUAUAGAUCUAUGAAAUUAUAGCCUAGAUCUCCAAAGGGAACUCGGGAGUACUGUCUGGUCUGGUAAGGGUACGUCUAGCUGGGAAUAUAUAUAGUGCACUACUAUAGACCAGCGCCCUAUUCCCUAUAUAGUGGCACUACCUUAGACCAGAGCCCUAUUCCCUAUAUAGUGGUACUACUAUAGACCAGAGCCCUAUUCCCUAUAUAGUGCACUACUAUAGACCAGCGCCCUAUUCCCUAUAUAGUGGCACUACCUUAGACCAGAGCCCUAUUCCCUAUAUAGUGGUACUACUAUAGACCAGAGCCCUAUUCCCUAUAUAGUGGCACUACUUUAGACCAGAGCCCGAUUCCCUAUAUAGUGCACUACUUUAGACCAGAGCCCUAUUCCCUAUAUAGUGCACUACUUUAGACCAGAGCCCUAUUCCCUAUAUAGUGCACUACUUUAGACCAGAGCCCUAUUCCCUAUAUAGUGGCACUACUUUAGACCAGAGCCCGAUUCCCUAUAUAGUGCACUACUUUAGACCAGAGCCCUAUUCCCUAUAUAGUGCACUACUUUAGACCAGAGCCCUAUUCCCUAUAUAGUGCACUACUUUUGGCCUGAGCCCUAUUCCCUAUAUAGUGCACUACUUUAGACCAGAGCCCUAUUCCCUAUAUAGUGCACUACUUUAGACCAGAGCCCUAUUCCCUAUAUAGUGCACUACUUUUGGCCUGAGCCCUAUUCCCUAUAUAGUGCACUACUUUAGACCAGAGCCCUAUUCCCUAUAUAGUGCACUACUUUAGACCAGAGCCCUAUUCCCUAUAUAGUACACUACUUUAGACCAGAGCCCUAUAUAGUGCACUACUUUAGACCAGAGCCCUAUUCCCUAUAUAGUGCCCUACUUUAGACCAGAACCCUAUUCCCUAUAUAGUGGCACUACUAUAGACCAGAGCCCUAUUCCCUAUAUAGUGCACUACUUUAGACCAGAGCCCUAUUCCCUAUAUAGUGCACUACUUUAGACCAGAGCCCUAUUCCCUAUAUAGUGCACUACUUUAGACCAGAGCCCUAUUCCCUAUAUAGUGCACUACUUUAGACCAAAGCCCUAUUCCCUAUAUAGUGCACUACUUUAGACCAGAGCCCUAUUCCCUAUAUAGUGCACUACUUUAGACCAGAGCCCUAUUCCCUAUAUAGUGCACUACUUUAGACCAGAACCCUAUUCCCUAUAUAGUGCACUACUUUAGACCAGAGCCCUAUUCCCUAUAUAGUGCACUACUUUAGACCAGAGCCCUAUUCCCUAUAUAGUGGCACUACUAUAGACCAGAGCCCUAUUCCCUAUAUAGUGGCACUACUUUAGACCAGAACCCUAUUCCCUAUAUAGUGCACUACUUUAGACCAGAGCCCUAUUCCCUAUAUAGUGCACUACUUUAGACCAGAGCCCUAUUCCCUAUAUAGUGCACUACUUUAGACCAGAGCCCUAUUCCCUAUAUAGUGGUACUACUAUAGACCAGAGCCCUAUUCCCUAUAUAGUGCCCUACUUUAGACCAGAACCCUAUUUCCUAUAUAGUGGCACUACUUUAGACCAGAGCCCCCAUAGGGAAUAGGUGGUCAUUUGAGACUCACCCAUUCCCUCCCCCCCUCUUUAGUUUCUACGUUUCGGUCCGUCCUCUGAACGGGAUUCAGUAACGGGAAAGAAACCGCUCCAACGAUCCACCACUGACGUCCCUCCCUCGGUAACAGGAAGUCCCUCCCUCGGUAACAGGAAGUCCCUCCCUCGGUAACAGGAAGUCCCUCCCUCGGUAACAGGAAGUCCCUCCCUCCGCGUGAAAGGUUGUUUUCUUCUUCUUCAUUCACCCGUCUUAUCGUUGUGUCUUAUAAUAAUAGUUUUUGUUUUUAACUUUCUCAUCAAGACAGCGAGUGAUUGUGUUCGUUGUGUCUGUGCAGAGUAAAACAAUGAAACGAGAAUGGAGGGGGGACGGGACUGUCUCUGUUAUAGAGCUUAUGGACAGCUCCAUAUGCAGUGCCUUCGGACAGUAUUCACACCCCUUGACCUUGUUCUACGUUUUGUUUUAAAUAUGUAUUUGUUUGUGUCACUGGCCUCUACACACCACAAUCAUAAUGUCAAAGUGGAAUUGUGUUUUUAGAAAUGUUUACAAAAUUAUAUAUUUUUUUCUUUUUAAAAAGGGAAAAGCUGAAAUGAGUCAAUUUUAGUUUUCAACUCCUUUGUUAUGUCAAGCCCUAGAUAAGUUCAGGAGUAAAAAAUGUGCUCAACAAGUCACAUAACAAGUUGGCGUGGACUCACUCUCUGUGUGUAAUAAUAGUGUUUAACGUGAUUCUCUGUACCCCACACAGACAAUUAUCUCUAAGGUCCCUCAGUCGAGGAGAUGUAGUGCAAGGCACACACCUGUGUAUAUAAUGUCCCACAGUUGACAGUGCAUGUCAGAGCCAAGGACAAUCCAUGAAGUGUAAAGCUGUCAUCAAGGUAAAAGGUGGCUACUUUGAAGAAUCUCAAAUAUAAAAUAUAUUUUGAUUUGUUUAACACUUUUUUUUUUGUUGGUCACUACAUGAUUCCAUAUGUGUUAUUUCAUAGUGUUGAUGUCUUCACUAUUAUUCUACAAUGUAGAAAAUAGUAAAAAUAAAGAAAAACCUUUUGAAUGAGUAGGUGUUUUGACUGGUACUGUAUGUAUUCUUGGCUGAGUAGCUUGGACUGCGAAUGCAACUUGCCGGCAUUCAAAUGAUUAGCUUCUUUUAGAGAACAUGUAUUUAAGCUUGGAUCUGCUUGGUUCUGGAUUAGCUUGUACUGUCUUGCUGAACUCCAGGGUCAUUGUCACAACAUAGGGUCUUUAAUGAUCUGUACUGGUCUUUAAUGAUCUGUACUGGUCUUUAAUGAUCUGUACUGGUC
rnacentral:lncRNA from 1 species